UACGGAGGGUGCAAGCGUUAUCCGGAUUUACUGGGUUUAAAGGGUGUGUAGGCGGGCCUUUAAGUCUGGGGUGAAAUCUCCGAGCUCAACUCGGAAACUGCCCCGGAUACUAUCGGCCUUGAAUUAUGUUGAGGUCGGCGGAAUAUAACAUGUAGCGGUGAAAUGCAUAGAUAUGUUAUAGAACACCGAUUGCGUAGGCAGCUAACUAGGCUGUAACUGACGCUGAGGCACGAAAGCGUGGGGAGCGAACAGG
rnacentral:rRNA from 1 species